UACGGAGGGUGCGAGCGUUGUCCGGAAUCACUGGGCGUAAAGGGCGCGUAGGUGGCGUCGCAAGUCAACGGUGAAAGCUCGACGCUCAACGUCGAGUCGGCCGUCGAGACUGCGAGGCUUGAGUACUGUAGAGGCAGAUGGAAUUCCGGGUGUAGCGGUGGAAUGCGUAGAGAUCCGGAAGAACACCGGUGGCGAAGGCGGUCUGCUGGGCAGUUGCUGACACUGAGGCGCGACAGCGUGGGGAGCAAACAGG
rnacentral:rRNA from 1 species